rnacentral:rRNA from 1 species
ACGGAGGAUCCAAGCGUUAUCCGGAUUCAUUGGGUUUAAAGGGUGCGUAGGCGGAAUGAUAAGUCAGUGGUGAAAGCCUGCAGCUUAACUGCAGAACUGCCAUUGAUACUGUCAAUCUUGAGUACAUUUGAUGUGGGCGGAAUGUGUCAUGUAGCGGUGAAAUGCUUAGAUAUGACACAGAACACCGAUUGCGAAGGCAGCUCACAAAACUGUAACUGACGCUGAGGCACGAAAGCGUGGGUAUCAAACAGG